rnacentral:rRNA from 1 species
GACGAACGCUGGCGGCGUGCCUAAUACAUGCAAGUCGAGCGAAGUUUUUCUGGUGCUUGCACUAGAAAAACUUAGCGGCGAACGGGUGAGUAACACGUAAAGAACCUGCCUCAUAGACUGGGACAACUAUUGGAAACGAUAGCUAAUACCGGAUAACAACAUUAACUGCAUGGUUGAUGUUUGAAAGUUGGUUAUGCUAACACUAUGAGAUGGCUUUGCGGUGCAUUAGCUAGUUGGUGGGGUAAAGGCCCACCAAGGCGACGAUGCAUAGCCGACCUGAGAGGGUGAUCGGCCACACUGGGACUGAGACACGGCCCAGACUCCUACGGGAGGCAGCAGUAGGGAAUCUUCCGCAAUGGGCGAAAGCCUGACGGAGCAACGCCGCGUGAGUGAAGAAGGAUUUCGGUUCGUAAAGCUCUGUUGUUAGGGAAGAAUGGAUAUGUAGUAAACUAUACAUGUAAAG